rnacentral:rRNA from 1 species
ACGAACGCUGGCGGCGUGCUUAACACCUGCACGUCGAACGGAAAGGCCCUGCUUUUGUGGGGUGCUCGAGUGGCGAACGGGUGAGUAACACGUGAGUAACCUGCCCUUGACUUUGGGAUAACUUCAGGAAACUGGGGCUAAUACCGGAUAGGAGCUCCUGCUGCAUGGUGGGGGUUGGAAAGUUUCGGCGGUUGGGGAUGGACUCGCGGCUUAUCAGCUUGUUGGUGGGGUAGUGGCUUACCAAGGCUUUGACGGGUAGCCGGCCUGAGAGGGUGACCGGCCAAAUGGGGACGGGGAAACGGCCCAAACCCCUAGGGGGGGAAGAGGGGGGGAAAAUGGCAAAAGGGGGGGAGGCCUGAUGCAGCAACGCCGGGGGGGGGAUGACGGCCUUGGGGUGGAAAACCGCUUUCCCCGGGAACGAGGGGGGGGGGAGGGAAAUGGGUAAAGAAGCACCGGCAAACUAGUU